rnacentral:rRNA from 1 species
UACGGAGGGGGCUAGCGUUGUUCGGAAUUACUGGGCGUAAAGGGCGCGUAGGCGGCUUUUCAAGUGACGGGUGAAAUCCCUCAGCUUAACUGGGGAACUGCGUCUGAUACUGAUGAGCUUGAGUGCAGGAGAGGAACGCGGAAUUCCAGGUGUAGCGGUGAAAUGCGUAGAUAUCUGGAGGAACACCGGUGGCGAAGGCGGCGUUCUGGACUGCAACUGACACUGAAAAACGAAAGCCAGGGGAGCAAACGGG